UUUAAACGGCCGCGGUAUCCUAACCGUGYAAAGGUAGCACAAUCACUUGUUCUUUAAUUAAGGACUGGUAUGAACGGCCACAUGAGGGCCUAACUGUCUCCUGUAGCCMAUCAAUGAACCUGAUCCCCCASUACAAAAGCUGGGAUAUACUCAUAAGACGAGAAGACCCUGUGGAGCUUCAAACAAACUCUWARGUUAAUACAACCCAACAGGUAUACUAUAAAUAAGAUUAGCUAAGUUUUCAGUUGGGGCGACUGUGGGGUAAAACAAACCCCCCACGAAACAACCUUGUAUUAAGUGGACACACCGAURACAAAUACAUUGACCCAGUAUUACUGAUCAACGAACCAAGUUACCCCAGGGAUAACAGCGCCAUCCCCUUUAAGAGUCCUUAUCGCCGAGGGGGUUUACGACCUCGAUGUUGGAUCAGGACAUCCCGGUGGUGUAGCCGCUACCAAGGGUUCGUUUGUUCAACGAUUAACAGUCCU
rnacentral:rRNA from 1 species